rnacentral:rRNA from 2 species
GUGGGUAGUUUGACUGGGGCGGUCUCCUCCUAAAGAGUAACGGAGGAGCACGAAGGUUGGCUAAUCCUGGUCGGACAUCAGGAGGUUAGUGCAAUGGCAUAAGCCAGCUUGACUGCGAGCGUGACGGCGCGAGCAGGUGCGAAAGCAGGUCAUAGUGAUCCGGUGGUUCUGAAUGGAAGGGCCAUCGCUCAACGGAUAAAAGGUACUCCGGGGAUAACAGGCUGAUACCGCCCAAGAGUUCAUAUCGACGGCGGUGUUUGGCACCUCGAUGUCGGCUCAUCACAUCCUGGGGCUGAAGUAGGUCCCAAGGGUAUGGCUGUUCGCCAUUUAAAGUGGUACGCGAGCUGGGUUUAGAACGUCGUGAGACAGUUCGGUCCCUAUCUGCCGUGGGCGCUGGAGAACUGAGGGGGGCUGCUCCUAGUACGAGAGGACCGGAGUGGACGCAUCACUGGUGUUCGGGUUGUCAUGCCAAUGGCACUGCCCGGUAGCUAAAUGCGGAAGAGAUAAGUGCUGAAAGCAUCUAAGCACGAAACUUGCCCCGAGAUGAGUUCUCCCUGAGACUUAAAGUCUCCUGAAGGAACGUUGAAGACGACGACGUUGAUAGGCCGGGUGUGUAAGCGCAGCGAUGCGUUGAGCUAACCGGUACUAAUGAACCGUGAGGCUUAACCCUACAACGCCGAAG